GACCUCAAAUCAGGUAGGACUACCCGCUGAACUUAAGCAUAUCAAUAAGCGGAGGAAAAGAAACUAACAAGGAUUCCCCUAGUAACUGCGAGUGAAGCGGGAAAAGCUCAAAUUUAAAAUCUGGCAGUCUUUGAUUGUCCGAGUUGUAAUCUAGAGAAGUGUUAUCCGCGUUGGACCGUGUACAAGUCUCCUGGAAUGGAGCGUCAUAGAGGGUGAGAAUCCCGUCUUUGACACGGACUACCAGUGCUUUGUGAUGCGCUCUCAAAGAGUCGAGUUGUUUGGGAAUGCAGCUCAAAAUGGGUGGUAAAUUCCAUCUAAAGCUAAAUAUUGGCGAGAGACCGAUAGCGAACAAGUACCGUGAGGGAAAGAUGAAAAGAACUUUGGAAAGAGAGUUAAACAGUACGUGAAAUUGCUGAAAGGGAAACGCUUGAAGUCAGUCGCGUUGUCCGGGGAUCAACCUUGCUUUUGCUGGGUGUACUUUCCGGUUGACGGGUCAGCAUCAAUUUUGACCGUUGGAUAAAGGGUAAGGGAAUGUGGCAUCUUCGGAUGUGUUAUAGCCCUUGCUCGCAUACAACGAUUGGGAUUGAGGAACUCAGUACGCCGCAAGGCCGGGAAUUUAUUCUACGUUCGUACUUAGGAUGCUGGCAUAAUGGCUUUAAUCGACCCGUCUUGAAACACGGACCAAGGAGUCUAACAUGCCUGCGAGUGUUUGGGUGGAAAACCCGAGCGCGUAAUGAAAGUGAAAGUUGAGAUCCCUGUCGUGGGGAGCAUCGACGCCCGGACCAGACCUUUUGUGACGGAUCUGCGGUAGAGCAUGUAUGUUGGGACCCGAAAGAUGGUGAACUAUGCCUGAAUAGGGUGAAGCCAGAGGAAACUCUGGUGGAGGCUCGUAGCGAUUCUGACGUGCAAAUCGAUCGUCAAAUUUGGGUAUAGGGGCGAAAGACUAAUCGAACCAUCUAGUAGCUGGUUCCU
rnacentral:rRNA from 1 species